rnacentral:rRNA from 1 species
GAUGAACGCUGGCGGCGUGCUUAACACAUGCAAGUCGAACGGUGAAGGCGGAGCUUGCUCUGCUGGAUCAGUGGCGAACGGGUGAGUAACACGUGAGCAAUCUGCCCCUGACUCUGGGAUAAGCGCUGGAAACGGCGUCUAAUACUGGAUACGAGCUGCGAAGGCAUCUUCAGCAGCUGGAAAGAACUUCGGUCAGGGAUGAGCUCGCGGCCUAUCAGCUUGUUGGUGAGGUAACGGCUCACCAAGGCGUCGACGGGUAGCCGGCCUGAGAGGGUGACCGGCCACACUGGGACUGAGACACGGCCCAGACUCCUACGGGAGGCAGCAGUGGGGAAUAGUGCACAAUGGGCGAAAGCCUGAUGCAGCAACGCCGCGUGAGGGACGACGGCCUUCGGGUUGUAAACCUCUUUUAGCAGGGAAGAAGCGAAAGUGACGGUACCUGCAGAAAAAGCGCCGGCUAACUACGUG